UACGUAGGGGGCAAGCGUUGUCCGGAAUUAUUGGGCGUAAAGCGCACGUAGGCGGACCUACAAGUCGGGGGUGAAAUCCCGGGGCUCAACCCCGGAACGGCCUCCGAAACUGUGGGUCUGGAGGAUGAGAGAGGCGAGUGGAAUUCCGAGUGUAGAGGUGAAAUUCGUAGAUAUUCGGAGGAACACCAGUGGCGAAGGCGGCUCGCUGGCUCAUUUCUGACGCUGAGGUGCGAAAGCGUGGGGAGCAAACAGG
rnacentral:rRNA from 1 species